NNNNNNNNNNNNNNNNNNNNNNNNNNNNNNNNNNNNNNNNNNNNNNNNNNNCCCACUCCAGGGCCUUGCUGGUGGCUACUGACCCCCCCCAUGGGGCCACCUUGUCCCCUCAGUAGCCACUAAGCCCCCCCAGUUUAUCCCAGUUUGGGGGGGAUUCCCCUUCCCACCAUUCCCACUUUAUCCCAGUUUGGGGGGGGAUUCCCCUUCCCACUCUCCCCAGUUUAUCCCAGUUUGUGAUACCUGGGAAAUGGGUGCAUUCCCAGUUUAUCCCAGUUUGUGGGGGGAUUCCCCUGCCCACCAUCCCCAGUUUAUCCCAGUUUGUGGCACCCAGGAAGGGGGGCAUUCCCAGUUUAUCCCAGUCUGGGGGGGGAUUCCCCUGCCCACUGUCCCCCGUUUAUCCCAGUUUGGGGGACAUUCCCUUGCCCACCGUCCCCAGUUUAUCCCAGUUUGUGGCACCCAGGAAGGGGGGCAUUCCCAGUUUAUCCCAGUUUGGGGGGGAUUCCCCUGCCCACUGUCCCCAGUUUAUCCCAGUCUGGGGGGGGAUUCCCCUGCCCACUGUCCCCCGUUUAUCCCAGUUUGGGGGACAUUCCCUUGCCCACCGUCCCCAGUUUAUCCCAGUUUGUGACACCCAAGAAGAGGGGCAUUCCCAGUUUAUCCCAGUUUGGGGGGGAUUCCCCUUCCCACCAUCCCCAGUUUAUCCCAGUUUGUGGGGCAUUCCCCUUUCCACUGUCCCCAGUUUAUCCCAGUUUGUGGCACCUAGGAAGGGGGACAUUCCCAGUUUAUCCCAGUUUGGGUGGGAUUCCCCUUCCCACUGUCCCCAGUUUAUCCCAGUCUGGGGGGGAUUCCCCUGCCCACAGUCCCCAGUUUAUCCCAGUUUGGGGGGCAGCCCCCUUCCCACCAUCCCCAGUUUAUCCCAGUUUGGGGGGCAUUCCCCCUUCCCACUGUCCCCCAGUUUAUCCCAGUUUGUGACACCCGGGAAGGGGGGCAUUCCCAGUUUAUCCCAGUCUGGGGGGGAUUCCCCUGCCCACAGUCCCCAGUUUAUCCCAGUUUGGGGGGCAUUCCCCCUUCCCACUGUCCCCCAGUUUAUCCCAGUUUGUGACACCCGGGAAGGGGGGCAUUCCCAGUUUAUCCCAGUUUGUGGGGGACUCCCCUUCCCCCUUCCCAUCCUCCCCAGUUUAUCCCAGAUUGUGGGGGACUCCCCACCGUCCCCAGUUUAUCCCAGUUCAUCCCAGUUUGUGGCAGGGGAGCCCUUCAUCCUUCCUCACCUCCUCUUCCUCCUCUUGGCUCAUUCCUCCCCCUCCCCAACCUUCUUUAAUUAAUUAUUCCUAACGAGGGCUGUAAUUAAACCAGGGGUGCCACCUCCGCGGUGUGGCCGGUCCCACCACCCUGGGCUGCCUUCGUUAGUGCCCCGAAGAGCUAACGAGGGGCAGUAAUUAACGAGGGGCAGUAAUUAACGAGCGAACCUUCUUGUGCCAAUUCCCCUCUUCUUUUGACUCCUUUUUUUUUCUUUUUCCUGGGAUUUUUAGCCCCAGAAUCCGGGUGGAUUUGGAGCCGGGAGAUGCUUCAUCCC
rnacentral:lncRNA from 1 species